rnacentral:rRNA from 1 species
GAUGAACGCUGGCGGCGUGCCUAAUACAUGCAAGUCGAGCGAACGGACGAGAAGCUUGCUCCUCUGAUGUUAGCGGCGGACGGGUGAGUAACACGUGGAUAACCUACCUAUAAGACUGGGAUAACCUCGGGAAACCGGAGCUAAUACCGGAUGAUAUUUUGAACCGCAUGGUUCAAAAGUGAAAGACGGUCUUGCUGUCACUUAUAGAUGGAUCCGCGCUGCAUUAGCUAGUUGGUAAGGUAACGGCUUACCAAGGCAACGAUGCAUAGCCGACCUGAGAGGGUGAUCGGCCACACUGGAACUGAGACACGGUCCAGACUCCUACGGGAGGCAGCAGUAGGGAAUCUUCCGCAAUGGGCGAAAGCCUGACGGAGCAACGCCGCGUGAGUGAUGAAGGUCUUCGGAUCGUAAAACUCUGUUAUUAGGGAAGAACAUAUGUGUAAGUAACUGUGCACAUCUUGACGGUACCUAAUCAGAAAGCCACGGCUAACUACGUG